UACGUAGGGUGCAAGCGUUAAUCGGAAUUACUGGGCGUAAAGCGUGCGCAGGCGGUGAUGUAAGACAGAUGUGAAAUCCCCGGGCUCAACCUGGGAACUGCAUUUGUGACUGCACGGCUAGAGUGUGUCAGAGGGGGGUAGAAUUCCACGUGUAGCAGUGAAAUGCGUAGAGAUGUGGAGGAAUACCGAUGGCGAAGGCAGCCCCCUGGGAUAACACUGACGCUCAUGCACGAAAGCGUGGGGAGCAAACAGG
rnacentral:rRNA from 1 species